rnacentral:rRNA from 1 species
CGGGGAAUAUUGGGCAAUGGGGGCAACCCUGACCCAGCGACGCCGCGUGGGGGAAGACGGCCUUCGGGUUGUAAACCUCUUUUGUACGGGAAGAAGGAAGUGACGGUACUGUACGAAUAAGUCCCGGCUAACUACGUGCCAGCAGUCGCGGCAAUACGUAGGGGACGAGCGUUGUCCGGAAUUACUGGGCGUAAAGGGCGCGCAGGCUGUGCUGCAAGUCAGCUGUUAAAUGUCUGGGCUUAACCCGGGCAUGCGGUUGAGACUGCAGUGCUGGAGUGCUGUAGAGGCAAGUGGAAUUCCCAGUGUAGCGGUGAAAUGCGUAGAUAUUGGGAAGAACACCGGUGGCGAAGGCGACUUGCUGGGCAGCAACUGACGCUGAGGCGCGAAAGCCAGGAGAGCAAACGG